CGAGAUUGUCGUUAAAAUAGGAAUUAAAGAGCAAAUUAAAAGAUCAUUCGCCAAAAGAAUUGACAAUUUUGUAAGAUUUAUGAAGAGAUAAAAACGAAAUCGGUUUUGUUGACAUGAUAUGAAUUAAUAUGAAAUCAAAAGUUUAGAUCGUGAUCGAUAAGAAUGAAAUCGUAAAGAAGAGCCUGAAGUUGGUUACGCAAGUCGUAGAACGCCACCUGCGAUUCUCGAACGGUGGCGGGUAUCGAAAGUUCCACAUGUGGUGUCGGCAUGUUCACGAAUGACGAGUUGAAAGUUCGAUUUGAAAGAACGUUGUUUGAAGAAAAAGACCAGGUUUUUGCUCGAAUUGCGUGGAAAUUUCAAGAUCCGUAACAGCUUGCAACGAAUCAGUUACGAUCGGGCAGCCCAUUAUUAAGCGAGUUAUUAGGCAAACGAGAGAACGGCAGGCCGACGACGCACAGAGCGGAAGAAAGAGCCUACGAUAAAGGAAACGGUAGAGGCAAAGAGACGGAGGUAUCCCCCUGUACAACACGGUUCUCCUACAACACGAUUUCGCUCUAACAGAGCGUCCGAGAAUUAGGGAAAUGCUUGAUUUCGAUAAAGAAAACGCCAUCGCGUUAAUGGUUAUAUAGCUAGCCGGUUAUUUGGCAGUGACGAAAAAAGCGAACAAGCAAACUUUAUAAAAUAAGAAGAGUAGAAAGUAACACGGUUUUACAAAGUGGUCUAUAAUUCAAUAAACGCAAUAAAUAACUAGCUACCAUAUAUACCUGCUACAGUAUAGAUGACUGUUACCGAUAUGGUAACAAAUUUUUAGUACAUCAUUUACCAAGAUUCCUAGCGUAUCAGUUUUAAACAUCUUCCCUGUAUAAUUUCCCUGUAUAACUCUUUCAGUCGUGAAAAGAAAUAGUAUGCCGAAUAGUAUGCUGUUGUUGACUUUCCUGCAACCUGACCCCUUACUUUUUCUACUAAUUCUUCAUUUCGUACAUACAAUGCAGCAUUUUUCUCCUAUACACGGAGAGGAUACACCUGUAGCGUACAGUACCGUACAGGUUACGAACAGACGUAAUCGAGUCGGUAAAGUUGACCGGCGUACAAAAUAUUCUACUUAGGUAAGGUAUUCGAAAUGGAGAAAAGAACGCUCGAAGGCGGCGAGCUUUGUCCCGGUUUUAUUCCAGCCUUACGUGAAUUGCGCACAUAUUAGAUAAGUGUGGUUGUUGCACAACUGCCGCUCGGUUGCGUUCCGCUAAAAUUGCUGCCCCGCGUCUCAAGUCUGCGCUUUCCACCGCGACCAACCUUCCCGCAAAGUGCCAAGGACGUUGUGGCAAGUGUUCGGACCGCCGCGCUAUUUCAAAUUAUACCCACUAUCGUGUACUCUAUUCUUAUCUGUCAGCGUCCUUCUCUCGUUCUUCGUUUCUUCGUUUCUUCCCCCUAUCCCCGCCCUUCUGCUAAUAAUCUCUGCUUCGCUAGCCCAGUUUUAUCCGGUUGCCUAAAUUGUCUAUGUAAAUUUAACCCACACGUACAUUAUACAUAUAUCGAUGGGUUACUGUACAAAUAUUAUAUGUCCACCUUUAG